rnacentral:rRNA from 1 species
UUCCGGUUGAUCCUGCCGGAGGUCACUGCUAUUGGGAUUCGACUAAGCCAUGCGAGUCGAGAGGGUUCGGCCCUCGGCUGACUGCUCAGUAACACGUGGAUAAUCUACCCUAAGGCGGAGGAUAACCUCGGGAAACUGAGAAUAAUACUCCAUAGGUCUAAGAUGCUGGAAUGCAUUUAGACUGAAAACUCCGGUGCCUUAGGAUGAGUCUGCGGACUAUCAGGUUGUAGUCAGGGUAAAGACCUGACUAGCCUACGACGGAUACGGGUUGUGAGAGCAAUAACCCGGAGAUGAUAUCUGAGACACGAUAUCAGGCCCUACGGGGCGCAGCAGGCGCGAAAACUUCACAAUGUGCGAAAGCGCGAUGAGGGAAUCCCAAGUGCUUGCACGUAAGUGUAAGCUGUUUCUUUGUUUAAAAAGCAUAGAGAGUAAGGGCUGGGUAAGACGGGUGCCAGCCGCCGCGGUAAUACCUGCAGCUCAAGUGGUGAUCGUUAUUAUUGGGCCUAAAACGUUCGUAGCCGGUUUAGUAAAUGCCUGGGUAAAUCGUGUAGCUCAACUAUACGACUUCCGGGUAGACUGCUAAACUUGGGACCGGGAGAGGCUAGAGGUACUCCUGGGGUAGAGGUGAAAUUCUGUAAUCCUAGGGGGACCACCAGUGGCGAAGGCGUCUAGCUAGAACGGGUCUGACGGUGAGGGACGAAGCCCUGGGGCGCAAACCGGAUUAGAUACCCGGGUAGUCCAGGGUGUAAACGCUGCUUGCUUGAUGUUAGUCGGGCUCCGAGCCCGAUUAGUGUCGGAGAGAAGUUGUUAAGCAAGCUGCCUGGGAAGUACGGUCGCAAGGCUGAAACUUAAAGGAAUUGGCGGGGGAGCACAGCAACAGGUGGAGCGUGCGGUUUAAUUGGACUCAACGCCGGU